rnacentral:rRNA from 1 species
GCACAAGCGGUGGAGCAUGUGGUUUAAUUCGAAGCAACGCGAAGAACCUUACCAGGUCUUGACAUCCCGAUGCUAUUUCUAGAGAUAGAAAGUUACUUCGGUACAUCGGUGACAGGUGGUGCAUGGUUGUCGUCAGCUCGUGUCGUGAGAUGUUGGGUUAAGUCCCGCAACGAGCGCAACCCUUGCCUUUAGUUGCCAGCAGUUCGGCUGGGCACUCUAAAGGGACUGCCGGUGUCAAACCGGAGGAAGGUGGGGAUGACGUCAAGUCCUCAUGGCCUUUAUGGCCAGGGCUACACACGUACUACAAUGGCCGGUACAAAGGGCAGCGACAUUGCGAGAUGGAGCGAAUCCCGAAAAGCCGGUCUCAGUCCGGAUUGGAGUCUGCAACUCGACUCCAUGAAGUUGGAAUCGCUAGUAAUCGUGGAUCAGCAUGCCACGGUGAAUACGUUCCCGGGCCUU